rnacentral:rRNA from 3 species
UGAAGAAUAUUGGGCAAUGGGGGAAACCCUGACCCAGCAACGCCGCGUGAGGGAAGAAGGUUCUCGGAUUGUAAACCUCUGUCCCAUGGGAAGAAAAAAAUGACGGUACCAUGGGAGGAAGCCCCGGCUAACUACGUGCCAGCAGCCGCGGUAAUACGUAGGGGGCAAGCGUUGUCCGGAAUUAUUGGGCGUAAAGGGUGCGUAGGCGGCCCAUCAAGUUGGAUGUGAAAUCCCCGUGCUUAACAUGGGAAUUGCAUUCAAAACUGAAGGGCUUGAGUGUGGAAGAGGUAAGUGGAAUUCCCAGUGUAGCGGUGAAAUGCGUAGAUAUUGGGAGGAACACCAGUGGCGAAGGCGACUUACUGGGCCACAACUGACGCUGAGGCACGAAAGCGUGGGGAGCAAACAGG